ensembl:misc_RNA predicted gene, 27315
CUUUUUCCAGCAGGAAAGAGACCAGCUAAAGUAGCAUGCAAUGUCCUUCCUGUUCCCAUGCAGCUGGCCGAGGCUUCUUUUUCCUCUGCUCAAAUCCGAUUUGUAUUUCUUCCUUGUUAAUACCCCCAGAGUGCUCCAUGUUUCUUCCAGCCGG